UGCUGCAGGAUCAAGGGGGAGAAAAACGGGCUGUUUGGUGGCGUAAUACGCGGAGCCAUAUUCCACACCCAGGGCCAGUGUGUUAAGACCUUUCUGGGCCUCACGCACGGCGCAUGACGGUGACACCACCCGUGUGCCUACCGGUGUUGGCCCCAAGUCAGAACAAAGCAAAAUCAUCAAAUACGUGUGCUCUCACGUCCUGGCCUUGCUCCUGAGUCAGCCUCGCCCGCGCCCCUCCCGCCAGCCCCGGAGAGAGCCCCGUCUCACCCGCACACCUCCGCAGGCUUUCCUCCUGUGAGUUUCGUUUCUUGCGGACAGAGAAACAAAACCGAAAGUGUCCCAGCAGCCAGACCCUCUGCUCUGGGGCCAGGGGAGGCUUCCCCAAAUCUCAGCCUGGGCUGCUCCAAGGUUGCUGGGCUCGUCACUGGGCUUCUGACCCAGGCCAGGCCUGCCCCGCAGCAGCCCCGCCCCUGCUCAGGCCGGCUUCACCGUCCCUGGGCCUCAUGUCCCCUCUGCAGGGGACAGCGGCCUGGGCCCUGGCACUUCCUGCCCCUGCACUGGUCCUGAAUGGACUUGGAGAGCAGGGUGGUGUGUGCCAAGAUGCAGGGCUCAGAGGCACGUCCCUGAGGGCUUGCUGAUGAAGGAUGACAUCAGGCCGGUCUCCCCCCGUGGCUCCUUCCUCACUUGGGAAUCACGACAGGUGCGCCUGCUUCCCUGAGCUUUGCGGUUGCUGUGCUGUUUACAGAGUGAGGGUCAAGCCUGCGUGCAACACGUCUGCCCGCACCGUGUAUCCAGCCGCGUUUGCUCAGUGCCUGCCUCUGGGUCACAUUUUGGUAAUUCCCUCACUCUUUCAGACUUUUCAUUCUUGUGUUUUUGAAGUGAUGGGGUCUGUGACCAGUGAUCAGGACUUGGUAAACCUCGGAGGAUGGCCAGCGGGUUUCAGCUAGCUUCACCCGGAGAGAAGGGGAGGCGGCCUGCGGGACGGGGUCCUCGGGGAGGCAGGUGGGCAGGACGUGAGGCUGCCCACAUUCCCCCACGCUCACUCGGGAGACCCCUCCUCAUGCGUACCCCUGGGAUCUCAGAGCUGUCCUCAGCCCCGAGCAACGGCACCAGCGGGCCAGGAGGGGUCUCAUGGGUCUGCAGAUGGGCCGGGAGCGGCCGCUGUGAGGAGGGUGACCGGAUGGGACUCCAGCCUCCUGCCAGCCUCUUCAAUCCGGGCACCAGACCAGCCACGAACACCGACUCGUCUUCCACGGCUCAACCAUGCAUCUGUCAUCCAGCUGCUCUGCCGUAAGGGUAAAAGCCCAUUUCGCAGCUGCAGAAACCAAGACACAGAGAGGUUGUGCAAUUUACACAAGGUCUCCUAGUGACUGUCAGAGCUGGCGUUCAAACAAGGUCGAUGGGACUCCGGGGCCUAGGUCCCUAAGCAAGACACGACCUGCCUUAUUGGACACAGGGCAGGGGCUCCGGGCCGGGAGAGACCGGUUGGCCUCCUGGUCCCUUCCACGUCAGUCCCUUUGACCAUGCAGCUCGCUCCCGUCUGUCUCUGGGUCACUGGUGGAGACUGACGAUAGGAAGAAGCUGGGCUUUCACACGGUCUCGGGUCUCCUGCUGGGACCCCUGGAGUGGAGGGACGGCUGGGAUGGAAACGAGGGGGACCCGGGGAGGCCUCUGAAGGGCAAAGGUCAGUGGGGCUGGGCUGACCUGGAAAGGAUCACGAGCUUUCUCGUCUACAUCCUCAUUUUCUUCCAGGAUGUUCCCUCUUUGCAGACUGUCCCACCCCCGCACCGUCCCUUCCCUUCCGGAACGACUCUAUGUUAACAGCUGGUCGAGCACCGACGCCUUUGUCCCUGUGUGUGGUUAGCUGAUGGUCUGUCUGUGCGAGUGGCUGGGGGUUCACCGUCUCUUCCGUCGGGCUGCCCAUCAGUCCCUUCCGUCAGAGGGACCCGCGCGUGGGGCCCAGGAGGCCGUGGAGUCAGCGUGGCGUGGAGGCGGCCGGUCAGGCGUUGGCCAGCCUGAAGGGACACGCAGGGUCCGUGUCCGAGGUAAUUAGAGCAGAAGUUAGGAGACCCUCCCAGAACCCCGCAGCAGGGCCGUUUUCCUUUGAUUUUAAACAAAACUGAUAAUUCUAUCACUAAGGCACAAACGUGCCAAGUUUGUUUUUGGCCACGGUGCCAUCGCUGUUUUUACGCUGAGCGUGGAAGGGGGUGCACUCUGGCUGGCACCGGAGCUUGUCCCCCCUCCCACCACGACAGGAGCCCGUGCUGUGGGCACACAUGAUUUCAUCGUUCCGCCAGCCGCCCUUGGCUGGGCCCCAACCCUCCGCAGCCCCAUCCCAUAAAACCCUUGACGAGAAAUGCCCUGUGUGAGCUCAGAACUCCUCUCCAGGCCACUGUGGCUACCCGCUUGGCCGCUGUCCCGCCCCCCGGGAUUGGAGGGGGUCGGGGCUGUCCCGGGAGCCAGGCGUCGGAGACGUACCUUUCCCUGGGAGGAGGGAAAGGGGGCGUGCAAACUCGGGGCUGGUCUGCAGAUGGGAAUGACAACACGUACCCUGAUGCCUGGUUUUGAGGGUGAAACAAGACUGCGUGUGAAAGGUGUCCAAGGUCCCGGAGAAGGGAGGGGACACCCCGAGGAGAGGACUGUCUCAGCCGGGCGUUGUCCUCUCAAGGGAUGGCUUUGCUCAGGACAAUGAUGUCACGGCAGAGGUAUUUCUCUUCCCAGACAGAAAUUACAUGGUGCAGUUGUGCAUACUUCUCGGUGGUGCCUUUGGAAGGAUCCUGUGGUCACAGUGGACCUGAGCCCCGGGAGACAUGAUCAUUGAGAUUGCUGUGUGUUUGGGUGGGAGUUUGUUGUUCAGAGACCACAUGCAACUGCUUCAAAUGAGUAGUCUCUGGAUGGAACUCAAGGCCCGGAAUAUCUGUGUUUGUGUUUGGGGCAGACUCUGGGCCCGGCUGGGCAGCAAAGUCGGGGGAUGCCCCGCUGGCUCCUGCUUGGCUGGCGUGCACAGGAGGGCAAGCUUGUCAUUAAGCUCACGGGUGAGAGGCAGCUGCUCCAGGCCCUGUCUGCACGGUGGCCCCCGCGCCUUCCCUUUCCCAUCCUUCUGUCUGAGGUCCGUUUUCACACACUCAUUAAAGCACCUGCUUGCCCGCCUCCCCCGGCCCAAUCAGCAAUCACAGCUCCCCUCCUUGUCCCCAGACAGACGUUUUCCCGGAGCCCCAAAGGGGGCAUCUCAGGGUCAGUGUCUGGGGGCCUUUGAUCUCAAUCACAGAAUGGUCGCUUUAACGGCUGCCAAAUGCUGGGUCACGGGACACGGGACAAAUGACCACACACAUCAAAUCUUUUGUUGUCACUUGUCUGGGGGUGAAAGAGGAAAAAUUCGUAUCCCGAGCAUCUCCCAACCCUCCGAAGUAGGGCUCCCUUACUGUGCAGGAGCUCAACGUCGGGAGGAACACAAGGGGCCCCACGCUGCGGUGCCAGGACGUUACUUCCAGAGCAGAGGGCCCAGUCGGCGGUGAGCUAUUCCCCGAGCCCAGUUUGCUCUACAAGAUACAGUAGACAAGGGAUAGGCCACUGUAUUCUCCACGUCAUUUUACUUCCUAACUUCUCUGACGGCCACAUGGCCUAUCAGCACGCGGUGCAGGACGAUUGUCUCAGGUAAAACCAGUCUCUGCUCCGAGCGUGCAGGCUGCAGAAGCCAACCUAAAGGAAAGGAAUGCGCUUUGUGAAUAGCAAGAUACGAUCUCACUGUGGACGUGAGCAGGGGUGUGACCCGCGUCAACAGGGUGUCAGGUCAGACUGACCCGGUCAGGUGUGUACAUGUGUGCACGUACAAGUGCGCGUGUGCACACGGGCACGCUGGGGGGGGCUGGGCAGCUGCAGGCUGGAGGUGGGAUGUGUGGGGAGGGGAAGGGGGCAGGGCGCUCGGGCAGACCCACGCCAGCUGGAAAACACGGCCCGUGGCAGGUGGGUCUGUGUCGGGGAGGAGAGUGAGGCUCGCAGAGGUGCGAGGGCUUUUGCAGAUGUGGUGAAGGACAAGAGCGCGGAGAUAGCAGAUGGUCCUGGGUCCGGGGAGGGACGUGGCUACAGACAGUCACAGGUGUUCCUGAGAGAUUCGGUGAGACGGCGGGAGAGGGGAAGGUGACGCGCUGACCAAGGAGAGAGAUUCGGAGGUGCCGCUGCUGGAGCUCGGUGCAGCUCUGGGGACAGGGUGAGGUGGGGACAGGACGAGGCAGGGACACGGCCCCCCGAACCCCCAGGGGAGCAGCCCACUCACACUUCUGCCUCCGGAACGGAGGAGAACAAGUGUUAUGUCGUUUGCAGGACGAAUUCUCCCGUGACUCGUUGCAGCACCUAUAGGGAACUGAUACGGUUAUAAUACAGAUUUUUGAUUCUCCUUGGACUACUUACGGUUGACACCGUGUCACCUCACGUAAAAAGCAGAAACUGUGCAGCAUGGUGGGACCGUGCGCUGUCCCUGCCUCCCGUCCUGCGUCCCCGACUUGUCGCAGCAUCACACCUACAGACGCCGUGACCCCUACCUGGGUCGGUGUACGUGGGCUGCCGUGACCAGUACCAGACAGGCGGCUGGAGCAACGGAAGUUUGUUUUCUCAGCGCUGUGGAGGGCGGAAGGCCGGCUCGGUGUCCUUGCUGGGGGCUCGGGUGGCCUUUUCUCAGUGUGUGUGGGGGGAGAGAGCUCGCUCUUCCUCUUCUUAAAAGGCCGUGAUGCUGGAUUAGGACCCCACCCGUACGACCUCAUGUAACCUUAAUUAUCUCCUAAAACCCCCUUCUCUGAAUACUGCCUCAACGGGGGUUAGGGCUUCAGCCCACGAGUUUGGGAGGACACAGUUCAAUGCAGAGCUCCACCUGACGACGUCGUGAGUUCCGCUUCGAUGGCCGUAUGAAUUUGGCAUUUAUCACACGCGGCGUGACCCGGGCACUAACGUCUGGGGCUGCACCAGAUCUCACGGGUUAAAGGCACCACCCCACAAGACUGACCCCACCCCAGACAGCAGCUGCAAGUCAGGGACUCCCAAACCACCUCCCUUCUGACUCACUAAAGCACCGGGGUUCUGACAAGCCCCGCGGACACCAGCCGCACGCUUGGGGGUCCCCGGGGUCCCCACGUUCUGAUCAGCUGGCUACAGACCUGGGGGUUCCCACGACCCCCUUAGGUACCGGAGCUCAGUGGGGUGACUCGGGAUUCAGGAAAGUUCUGUGCUUGUGGGAUGCCCGGGGCGAGUCCUCAGGGACGUGCCACUGUCCUGCACGCGGAUGUCUCGCCACCGACCAGGAAGACCAUCCCAGGCUCAGCGCCCAAAGUUCUUAACUGAAGAUCUGACUUUACACUGUGACCACUCCCUUCAACCUAGAGCAUUUUACGUAUUUCGUAGUGCAGGUCUCAAAGCGCGAACUCCUUAAGUUUUCUUUUAUCUGAAAGUGUCUUCGCUUUGUCUCAAUUCUUUUUUUUAAAGAUUUAUUUAUUUGAGAGAGAGAGAGCGGGGGCGGGGGAGAGAGAAUCCCCAGCAGGCUCCCUGCUGAGUGCAGAGCCAUACAUGGGGCUCGAUCCUACGACCCUGAGAUCAUAACCUCAGCUGAAAUCAAGAGUCGGACCUUCCACCAACUGUGCUGCCUCGGUGCCCUAUCUUGAUUCUCGAAGGAUAUUUCCAUCGCAUGUUGAAUUCUGGGUUGACAGGUAUUUUUUCUUGCAGUGCAUUGAAAAUGAUGUCUUCCCUGCACAGAAUCUGGUAAGAGGUGCAAGGUCAUUUGCGUUUUUGAUCUCUGUAUGCCGUCUGCCACUUUCCUCUGACUCCUAGCCGGAGUUUUUCCUUACCUGUGUUUUCAGCAAUUUGAUCAUUAUGCCCAGGUAUCGUUUUCUUAAUGUUUAUCCUGUUUGGGGUUUGCCGAGCUUCUUGCAUCUUUACAUCUAUGUCUUUUGCCAGUUCUGGGACAUUUCAGUCAUUUUUGACAAUUUUUUUCCUACCCCAUUCUUUCUUCUUUAAGUUCUCUGAUUAAACGUUUGUUAUCUACACCCCCCCACCCCAAGUCCCCAGGCUUCUGUUCUCCUCUCUCCCCCUCUGGUUUUCAGAUUGGAUGAUUUCUAUGCUCUGGCUUCAAGUUCUCAGACUCUUCCCUCUGCAUCUUCUGUCUGCUGUUAAUUUUUAAUUUCAGACAUUGAAUUUCUCAAUUUUUAGAAUUUUCACUUAUUUUACAAUAGUUUUUAUUUAUCUGCUGAGAUUUCCUAUCUGUUUUUCCAUUACAUACAUUUUUCCUUUACGUGGUUAAGCAUGGCUGCAAUAGCCGUUUUCAAAUCCUCUGCUGGUUACGUUUGGGUCGUCUUGGCGUUGGACUCUACUGAUGUGCUUUCCUUGGAGAGCGGGUCCCACCUGCCAGCGUCUCCGUUUGUCGAGCAAGUUGGGAUUGAAUCUAUGUUUAGAGAUUCUGGAUUCUGUGAUAUUGUCUGAAAAGCACACAUUGUGGCGGUGGUGGUUUUUUUUUUUUUUUUAAAGCAGGCAAUUAACUGAUUGGCUGCGAACGCAGACUGUGAAUCUCAAAUCCCGGUUCAGAUGUUCACGUGUGGUCGUUUAAAUGCCCCUCAUGUGGGCAGCUCAGGGCCAUCCAGGGAUCUGGGCAGAGUUUAUCUGAAGAACAUAAGGCUCCCUCUCCCACACUCUGCUCUCGAAGAGUCCCCGUCACCUUCCAGCUGGAGCGGCUGUUCUCGGGUCCCUUGGGCCAGAACGCUGUGAACAUGGAAACCCCCUCGCUCUCUUCUGCCGGGGCUCACGGACGUCGGGCUCCAUCUGAGUGUAGGGUGGUGCUACUGUGCCUUUCCCUUCAGUGCCUUCAGUGUAGCUGACACACAGUGUGACGCACAGUUAGUAUCAGACGCACAACGUGGUGACGGGACACGUCUGUGGGUUAUACCGCACGCGCCCCAGCGUGGCUGACACCUGCCGCCACACGACGCUGUUACGAUACCGCCGGCUAUAGUCCCUACGCUGUGCCUUUAACCCCCACGACGUAUUCGCUCCAUAACAGGAAGCCUGGACCCCCCAUCUAAUCCCCCGCCGCCGGCAACCAGCAGUCUGUUCUCUGUAUUUACAAGUCUGAUUCUGCUUAUUGUUCGCUCCUUUGUUUUGUGUUCGAGAUUCCACAUGAGUGAAAUUCUACCGUAUUUGCUCUCUGAUGACUUACUCACUCAGCACCAUACCCUCGAGCUCCAUCCGCGUUGCUGCAAAUGGCAAGAAACGUUCCCUUUUGUGGCUGCGUGGUACCCCCUCUGUCCAUGCCCCGCCGUGUUUUUUUCAUCCACUCAACCAUCCACGGACACUGGGGUCACGUCCGUAUCUUGGCUGAUGUAGUUAACGCCCCAGUAAACACAGGGCUGCAGAUAUUUUUUUCGAGUUAGUGUUUUGCUUCCUUUGGGUGAAUACCCAGGAGUGGGGUUGCCGGAUCACGAGGCAGCUCUAUUUUUAAGUUUUUGAGGAACCUCCGAGCCGUUCUCUACAGCGGCUGGGGCAGUGUGCAUCCCCACCAACGGUGCACAAGGCUUCCUUUUUCUCGGCGUCCUCGCCCGAGUGCUGUUCCUUGUUCAUAGCCCACGGCUGCCCCGCUCCCCGCCACCGCUCCAGCCGCACAGACCUGCCUGCUGUUGGGUGAACGACUGACGCUGCUGCCAUGACAGGAGGCCGCUCUCUCCGCCUGGAAGCUGCCUUCCCCCGGAAUUUGCACGGCCGGCUCCUUCAAGCCGUCUGUCGUCAAGCAGACUGCAGCUCCACGAGGGAAGGGAUUUUCUGUCUCUCCCUCUUAGUCCGCAGCGACGGGGGCGUCGCGUGCGUCGUAUGAGGCUCUCGGUAAAAACUGUCGGUGUGAACGCACGUUCCCGUCCGCACCCCACACGCGAGCACGUCUGUCUGCCAAGUCGGCUGCGCCUCCAACGUUCGAAACUGCCUCGUGUUCUCGUCUCCUCCCCUCUUGGUACUUGGGGGUCCGUACUAUCUUUUUAAUCUUAUUUCUAUCACUUUAAUAGGAUUUGAGGAGGGUGCAGAAUUAAAUGCCUGUAGUUCAAGCCACCAUACUGAACCAGAAGUCCAAGUGGUUCAGCCCAUUUCUUUUACACAGCAUUUUUCUUAGCUCAUGUGGAAGCAUUGCGUUCUCCUAAUAAUUAGAAUAUGAUUUGACCAAAACGCUGAUGUGGUGUAUCGACAAGAUACGGGGGAGGAGAAGACAAACGGUGGGCGCAACGGGGCAGGGUGGGUGUUGGCCUGAACACUCCUUAUGACAGAAAGCCAGUAAGUAGUUCCCGGAGCCGGGAAGUCACAGAGGGAAACACAGACGGAAAGCCCGGGGGACAGGGCCGGAGCGGCCGUCGUGCGUGCCGCUGGGGAGCGGGCAGAGGCUCGUGGAGGGCGUUGGCUUGUUGUGUGCAAAUCACCAACUUUGUGCCGGUGAGUGUGUGCCUCUGGUUCCUUCCUGGGGGUCUCUCCGCCCUCCGCGGUGCUACGAGGGCCCGGGAGAGCAGGAGAGGCGGCCCGCAGCCGCAGGGACGGCCACGAGGAUGCCCGGGAAUGGCCAGUGUGCAAAUGUCAGUACGAGAGUGAACUCUGUCAUCUUGUGUUCUGGGGACACUUGCAGGGCCGUUGGGCCGUUGACGGGGAAAGUAAGGCAGAUCAGACCACCCUGCCUUAGUUUCCCUCAACAGUGGCCUCGUGGGUGGGAAGGAAAGCCAGAUGUUCAGAGGGACCAAGAAAUCCGGGGGCGUGUGGUGAGACCACACUCACGCUGUUACACCACGAGCUCCAGCGCGCCGCUCUGUGUCCCUCCAGCCACACUCCUCGCGCAGGCGGACGGUACCACACAGCCAGCUUCCAGAUGGGGUCCCUACACCCGCCCUCGUGUUAGCGUGCUAGGAACGCUGCCCCCGCCAGUUCCCCUUCCUUUGCAGUUCCUUCUUCACUGUAUUUUGUAUGAUUAUGUUCUGGGCACUGUACCUUUUUGGUUAAAAUUAAGCAAAACUAAAUUAUUUAAUUACUCACAUCCUGUGAAUGACAGCUGGGGUUUUGUUGAUAUCUUCUCUGCUGUCCUUAUAUUUUAUUUUAUUUCAUUUUAUUUUAUUUUACUAACUUCUCUAAGCAGAGGCUUGACCUUCCAGGUUACCUUUCGAUUUUAAAUAAAAUUUGGUAUUUUUGGGGCACCUGGCUCCCUCAGUUGGUGGGACACGUGACUCUUUUAAAUACAUUUUUAUUUAAAUUCAAUUAAGUAACAUAUAUAUUUAUUAUUUUCAGAGGCAGAGGUCAGUGAUUCAUCAGUUGUAGAUAACAGCAGUGCUUGUUACAUCAAGUCCCCUCAUUAACGCCCAUCACCCAGUUACCCCAUCCCUCUACCCCCCUCCCCUCCAGCAGCCCUCAGUUUGUUCCCUGUGAUUAAGAGCCUCUUACGGUUUGUCU